UCCUGGGAUAACACUGACGUUCAUGCUCGAAAGCGUGGGUAGCAAACAGGAUUAGAUACCCUGGUAGUCCACGCCCUAAACGAUGUCAAUUAGCUGUUGGGCAACUUGAUUGCUUAGUAGCGUAGCUAACGCGUGAAAUUGACCGCCUGGGGAGUACGGUCGCAAGAUUAAAACUCAAAGGAAUUGACGGGGACCCGCACAAGCGGUGGAUGAUGUGGAUUAAUUCGAUGCGACGCGAAGAACCUUACCUGGUCUUGACAUGUACGGAAUCCUCCAGAGACGGAGGAGUGCCUUCGGGAGCCGUAACACAGGUGCUGCAUGGCUGUCGUCAGCUCGUGUCGUGAGAUGUUGGGUUAAGUCCCGCAACGAGCGCAACCCUUGUCAUUAGUUGCCAUCAUUUAGUUGGGCACUCUAAUGAGACUGCCGGUGACAAGCCGGAGGAAGGUGGGGAUGACGUCAAGUCCUCAUGGCCCUUAUGACCAGGGCUUCACACGUCAUACAAUGGUCGGUACAGAGGGUAGCCAAGCCGCGAGGUGGAGCCAAUCUCACAAAACCGAUCGUAGUCCGGAUUGCACUCUGCAACUCGAGUGCAUGAAGUCGGAAUCGCUAGUAAUCGCAGGUCAGCAUACUGCGGUGAAUACGUUCCCGGGUCUUGUACACACCGCCCGUCACACCAUGGGAGUGGGGGAUACCAGAAGUAGGUAGGGUAACCGCAAGGAGCCCGCUUACCACGGUAUGCUUCAUGACUGGGGUGAAGUCGUAACAAGGUAGCCGUAGGGGAACC
rnacentral:rRNA from 1 species